rnacentral:rRNA from 1 species
GAACGGCAGCGCGGGAGCAAUCCUGGCGGCGAGUGGCGAACGGGUGGAGAAAUAGAUCGGAACGUGCCCAAUCGUGGGGGAUAACGCAGCGAAAAGCUGAGCUAAUACCGGAUACGAUCUACGGAUGAAAGCAGGGGAUCGCAAGACCUUGCGCGAAUGGAGCGGCCGAUGGCAGAUUAGGUAGUUGGUGAGGUAAAGGCUCACCAAGCCCUUCGAUCUGUAGCUGGUCUGAGAGGACGACCAGCCACACUGGGACUGAGACACGGCCCAGACUCCUAACGGGAGGCAGCAGUGGGGAAUUUUGGACAAUGGGCGCAAGCCUGAUCCAGCCAUGCCGCGUGCAGGAUGAAGGCCUUCGGGUUGUAAACUGCUUUUGUACGGAACGAAACGGCCUUUUCUAAUAAAGAGGGCUAAUGACGGUACCGUAAGAAUAAGCACCGGCUAACUACGUGCCAGCAGCCCCGGUAAUACGUAGGGUGCAAGCGUUAAUCGGAAUUACUGGGCGUAAAGCGUGCGCAGGCGGUGAUGUAAGACAGUUGUGAAAUCCCGGGGCUCAACCUGGGAACUGCAUCUGUGACUGCAUCGCUGGAGUACGGCAGAGGGGGAUGGAAUUCCGCGUGUAGCAGUGAAAUGCGUAGAUAUGCGGAGGAACACCGAUGGCGAAGGCAAUCCCCUGGGCCUGUACUGACGCUCAUGCACGAAAGCGUGGGGAGCAAACAGGAUUAGAUACCCUGGUAGUCCACGCCCUAAACGAUGUCAACUGGUUGUUGGGUCUUCACUGACUCAGUAACGAAGCUAACGCGUGAAGUUGACCGCCUGGGGAGUACGGCCGCAAGGUUGAAACUCAAAGGAAUUGACGGGGUCCCGCACAAGCGGUGGAUGAUGUGGUUUAAUUCGAUGCAACGCGAAAAUCCUUACCCACCUUUGACAUGUACGGAAUUUGCCAGAGAUGGCUUAGUGCUCGAAAGAGAGCCGUAACACAGGUGCUGCAUGGCUGUCGUCAGCUCGUGUCGGUGAGAUGUUGGGUUAAGUCCCGCAACGAGCGCAACCCUUGUCAUUAGUUGCUACAUUCAGUUGGGCACUCUAAUGACACUGCCGGUGACAAACCGGAGGAAGGUGGGGAUGACGUCAAGUCCUGAUGGCCCUUAUAGGUGGGGCUACACACGUCAUACAAUGGCUGGUACAAAGGGUUGCCAACCCGCGAGGGGGAGCUAAUCCCAUAAAACCAGUCGUAGUCCGGAUCGCAGUCUGCAACUCGACUGCGUGAAGUCGGAAUCGCUAGUAAUCGUGGAUCAGAAUGUCACGGUGAAUACGUU